GACGAACGCUGGCGGCAUGCCUAACACAUGCAAGUCGAGCGAGACCUUCGGGUCUAGUGGCGCACGGGUGCGUAACGCGUGGGAACCUGCCCUUAGGUUCGGAAUAACUCCCCGAAAGGGGUGCUAAUACCGGAUAAUGUCUUCGGACCAAAGAUUUAUCGCCUUUGGAUGGGCCCGCGUUGGAUUAGCUAGUUGGUAGGGUAAAAGCCUACCAAGGCGACGAUCCAUAGCUGGUCUGAGAGGAUGAUCAGCCACACUGGGACUGAGACACGGCCCAGACUCCUACGGGAGGCAGCAGUGGGGAAUAUUGGACAAUGGGCGAAAGCCUGAUCCAGCAAUGCCGCGUGAGUGAUGAAGGCCUUAGGGUUGUAAAGCUCUUUUACCCGGGAUGAUAAUGACAGUACCGGGAGAAUAAGCUCCGGCUAACUCCGUG
rnacentral:rRNA from 1 species